rnacentral:rRNA from 1 species
UACAGAGGGGGCAAGCGUUGUUCGGAAUUACUGGGCGUAAAGGGCGCGUAGGCGGCCUUCUAAGUCAGACGUGAAAUCCCUCGGCUCAACCGGGGAACUGCGUGUGAUACUGGCGGGCUUGAAUUCGGGAGAGGGAUGUGGAAUUCCGGGUGUAGCGGUGGAAUGCGUAGAGAUCCGGAAGAACACCGGAGGCGAAGGCGGCUUGCUGGGCUCGGUCUGACGCUGAGGCGCGAAGGCGUGGGGAGCGAACAGG